AGUGAACGCUGGCGGUAGGCCUAACACAUGCAAGUCGAACGGCAGCACAGGAGAGCUUGCUCUCUGGGUGGCGAGUGGCGGACGGGUGUGGAAUACAUCGGAAUCUGCCCAGUCGUGGGGGAUAACGUAGGGAAACUUACGCUAAUACCGCAUACGACCUUCGGGUGAAAGAGGGGUAUCGCAAGACCUCUCGCGUUUGGUUGAGCCGAUGUCGGAUUAGCUAGUUGGCGGGGUAAUGGCCCACCAAGGCGACGAUCCGUAGCUGGUCUGAGAGGAUGAUCAGCCACACUGGAACUGAGACACGGUCCAGACUCCUACGGGAGGCAGCAGUGGGGAAUAUUGGACAAUGGGCGGAAGCCUGAUCGAACAAUACCGCGUGGGUGAAGAAGGCCUUCGGGUUGUAAAGCCCUUUUGUUGGGGAAGAACUCUUUCAGGCUAAUACCCUGAGAGGAUGACGGUACCUAAAGAAUAAGCACCGGCUAACUUCGUG
rnacentral:rRNA from 1 species